GAAAUGCGAUAAGUAAUGUGAAUUGCAGAAUUCAGUGAAUCAUCGAAUCUUUGAACGCACAUUGCGCCCGCCAGUAUUCUGGCGGGCAUGCCUGUUCGAGCGUCAUUUCAACCCUCAGGCUUCUACAGUCUGGUGUUGGGGAUCGGCACACCGCCGUCCCUCAAAUGCAGUGGCGGUCUCGCAUCAGCGUUGCCUUUGCGCAGUAAUUACUCUCGCACUGGAGCGCGGCGUGGCCCAAGCCGUAAAACCCCAUCUUCUGAAAGGUUGACCUCGGAUCAGGUAGGGAUACCCGCUGAACUUAA
rnacentral:misc_RNA from 1 species